rnacentral:sRNA from 13 species
CACAAUGCUAUAUAUUUCUUUCGAUUUUCCACAGCCUUACAGCUCUAAACAGGCUGACUUAAACACGCAGCUAAGUUCACGAAAUCAAACUUGAAGAAUUAUGUUGAUUUGCCUUAAAAAAAUCCCCACCUCUGAGGAAGUGCGUCAACGGAAAUUUUGCAGCGCACGCAAUGCGACUGCUAUUGGCUAUAGUAAAUCACUUUAAAAAUUAGCAUAAUCCGCCCUGUGUACACUUGAUUUCGUCUUAUGGUUUUUUUAUGGCGCGGAAAACCCUUUCGUUGGAAUUUGUUAUUCAAAUGGCAGAAACGCACACACAAAACAACGGAAGGAAGGAAGCAGCAGUAAAAUGUAUUGAUCAAUUAGGCAGAAAUGUUGUGCAUUGAAAGGAUGUUUUGUAAACUCCGGACCGUUGAAGAUUACAGGGCAUUAGGGGCAUUUGUUAAUCGUUCGAGCUCACUGCCCUCACACUCAACGUCCAUUGAAGACAGAAAUGCAUUCAUAAAUAAUUCGUUGCCUGGGAGAUGCAGUAAGUCCGAUGCAACCACAAAAGCAAGGAAGUGAGGAAGUUUCUCCCGUUUUAUUCUGUCCAAGAUUACAGCUCAAAAUCGGAGCAAAAGCCCAGGAACGAGGGAAUGCCACCCGUUUGCUGAUUGAUGAUAUGCCGGCAAAAGUUGCCAGGCAAAUAAUUCAACAAAAGUUGAGCGGGCAGGCAUUGGUCUUGGGAUCGCUCUGCAGUUUAUGAAAACGUUAAAUAAAAGACAAAACGAGAUGAAGCCCCGGUACGCACACACGCACGACAGCUUGCAAUUUGUGUUGCACAAGUUCUGGCCCGAUUUGGCCGGUCCGUUUUGGCCUGGUCUGUACGUGCUUACGGGCAGCUCGGAAAAGCUUAUUCAAAUGAAAGGCAAACAGAGCGACAACGGAGCAACAAUUGAAAUCAUUUAACAUUUGCAGAAACCAAAUACUCCUGGCCACGUUCUGCGAUUCCCACUCGAUGCAGUUGCACUUUAGCCCUUUUCGGGUUCAAAAUCCCACGAAACUGGAGGGGAAAUCGUUUGGGGGAAUGUGCUCGAGCCAAAUUGAAUGUUAACCCACAGACAUGUCAACCUUAGUUGGAAAUAAAUAUUCGCAUUCUGAAAACGAUUGAGUUUUUGGCCAGGAAAGAUAUCCUUUCCGGACACGUGCAAUCACAUAUGCUUCAAAGAAAAAUACGCAAUUUUCUGAAUAUGUUGCGAAAGGCAAAGGCAGCCGCAGCAGUUAUGCCAGCAAGACCAACAAUAAGGAAGCCGGCAAUCGCACUCGGCCUUAUGGCCAAGGAAAGUUUUUCAGCCAACCAAGUUGGCAGGCUGAGGACGGGGCCAACUGCCGACUAUAAUCGCAGUAAGUUACUUACUGACUGACUGACUGCGGCCUCGGGACUUUUGAAAUAUGUAAAGGGGAGGAGGCCCAGAUUAAGCGAUGGGAGUUAUCGAUCACUCCGUGGGAAUUAUUUUUUAUAGACCCAGUGUCGCACACUCAAUACGCGAACUAUCUAUCGUGAUCUAUGA